rnacentral:rRNA from 1 species
AUUGAACGCUGGCGGCAGGCCUAACACAUGCAAGUCGAGCGGAAACGAAGGGAGCUUGCUCCCAGGCGUCGAGCGGCGGACGGGUGAGUAACACGUGAGAAUCUGCCCAUUAGUGGGGGAAAACUCGGGGAAACUCGAGCUAAUACCGCAUAAUCCUUACGGGGGAAAGCAGGGGACCUGUUGGCCUUGCGCUGUAGGAUGAGAUCACGUCGGAUUAGCUUGUUGGUGAGGUAAAGGCUCACCAAGGCGACGAUCCGUAGCUGGUCUGAGAGGAUGAUCAGCCACACUGGGACUGAGACACGGCCCAGACUCCUACGGGAGGCAGCAGUGGGGAAUCUUGGACAAUGGGGGCAACCCUGAUCCAGCCAUGCCGCGUGUGUGAAGAAGGCCUUCGGGUUGUAAAGCACUUUCGGCAGGGAGGAAGGCUUUGGCCGAAUAGGUUGAAGUACUUGACGUUACCUGCAGAAGAAGCACCGGCUAAUUUCGUGCCAGCAGCCGCCGUAA